AACUCCCAUCUAAACACGAAUGACAGUCAUGGUAUGUUUAGUGUUCAAGAGCAAGCAUAGCUAUUGCACACUAAUGUACCCUGGCUGUUUUAUCACUCUCAACAACGAAGAA
rnacentral:precursor_RNA from 10 species